UGAUUAAUUACACAUUACCAUGCCAUCACAUGGUCACCAUUCGUUGCAGUGAGCAGGAGAUAAAAGCACAAGGGAAAUGUAAAAUCAAAUGUGGAUCACCCGUUGAUGGUGGACAUUAUUGUUCAUUACCUUGCCAUGACCGUAGAACUGUGCAUGCUUGUAAAGAAACGGUUUCAAAGCAGUUGAGAUGUGGUCAUACUAAGGACAUGCCGUGUUUCCGUGAGCCAAGCAAAGAAAUAUGCUUUGCACCCAUAUCGUUAAAACGUGCUUGUGGUCACGUUUUGAACGUCGUUUGUGGGGAAGCAUCUUCUUUGGAAGAAAACAUAUGUGGCGAGCUUAUUGAGAAACGGUUACCGUGUAAUCACCUGGCCCGUGUUGCGUGCUCUAUUUCUGCUGAAACAGUCUUCUGCAAUGCUCAAAUCGAGCAGCUACUAGGAUGUUGACACACUGUUCCUACGAAAUGUGGUGUCCCAUUGAAGAAGAGACUCGCAUUGACUUGUACUGUCGAGGAGGUAAAAGAAUUGCCUUGUGGCCACAUGUACCACUGAAAAUGUGGGUCCAAAGAGAGCAACAAACAAUUGAGCAGUGUCUUCUGUCGGAUUGAGGUGGAGAAGGUGAUCCCAAAAUGCGGGCACAGAGUAAAAAUCGAGUGUGGGAAAAAGCUGUCCAGGAAUGACUGUACUUCCAUGUGUGAGAAAAAACUACACUGUGGACAUCGCUGCAGGCUCCUUUGUCGAGAGCAAUGCGCCAAUUUCGGGAUCAGAACCAUACCCAGUAGUGAUCUGCGUAUACAAUUAAUCAUGUAUAACAAACACUAUAAUGUUGUCAAAAGAAAGCAAAAAGUACGUCUCUUUACCCGGUCAAUAAUCCAAAUGCAUGUUGCGGCCGUAAUCCACUCUCUUGCGUGCACAUUGCAUUCGAAGAACUCAACACGUUUAUUGGCAGAAAGAUGAGUGCUGAUGAUUAACUGAACAAUGUCACGACCCUCUGCGGUUGUCCCUCCAACCUUAGUCGACACUAUUGGGUGAACACUGUUUAUGGGAAUAUGGAUUUACCUCUUCGUACGUGUGAUAAUUUUCAAGAUCAAUUGCUUUUCCACUGUAAAGUGCGCGUCGGAGAGCGAUGGUCUCUUGUUCCUGUCGCACCAACUCACCAACAUCAGCAA